AAAGUGGCUCUCGCAAAGGGGAGCCGUGAAUCGGGUCAGGGUGUAACAGCAGCAGCCCUAAACGGGGUACCCUUGUGCGAGAGCCGCUUUGCG
rnacentral:SRP_RNA from 1 species